GGGGAUGUGGCUCAGUGGUAGAGAGCUUGCCUAAGGUGUGUGAAGCCUUGGGUUUGAUUCCUAGCACUGCCA
rnacentral:tRNA from 1 species